rnacentral:lncRNA from 1 species
AAAAAUUCGUAAUUCAGGUGUAAUGUUUACACCAAUUCACAAACCAAGUACAUGGUUUAAAACUUCAAAACUCAGGUAUAUAUUUAAUUAAUUAAAAAUGCUUAUUAAAUAAUGAUAAUAAAAUCACAAUUUUACGUUUAAUGGUCACAUAUUAUUUCAAGGUCACGAAUAUAAGUCACAGUUUAUGUCAUUGAUUACAGAUCCAAAAAAUUAUAGGUCAGAGUUCAUAUAUUUUCAAAUUUGAUAGUCACAUAUUACUUUCUUAACCACAGACAAUCGAAUUUUAAGGUUACAGUUUAUGGUCACAUGGACCAAUUGGUCACGGACAUCAAACACCCAAUCCACCCUCACUCAGCACCACCCCCCGAUCCACCACCAAGGUCACAAAUCAUCAACACACAACCGUCGCUUGCCACCCACCCUCACCAUGUUACCGUCGCUGCCGCCACCAACAACAAAAAAAUGACGACCACCACCACCAUCACUUGCACCAAACCACCACAAACACCAACAAACAUUCCAACCCCAGCCGUCCCACCUACAGCCAUCGCCACCAACAUUACCGCCACCUCCAUUGCUCCACCACCACGCCCUCCGACCGACAACGACCACCACACCACAAGAUAGCCACCUUGGAAACACCAUUACCACCACCACACAAAAAACCAUCCAAACCCACCACACAACCAUCAGAUCCACCUCUACAAAAUCGCCACCACACAAACACCAUCACCACUACCACACAUAACACCAUCCAAAACCACCACAACGUUUCUUCUGCCUCACUUGUUCAUACAGUAGCACCUCAACAGAGUUAGCGUCUGAUUGAGGGGGUGGAUCUGCUAGACUGCUUUGCCUCUUCAUUAUAGCACCUCCUCGGAGGUCACAUCUUUGUUCCUGGGCAGAGGUCACCAUCUUCGCCCCUUGCAGCAGCACCCAUACUGUAGCUACGACGUCGUGAACGACGUCGGUGAGUAAUCUCCAUGGCGAUUUCUUACAGAGAAGAGAGAGAUUGUAAAGUGAAAAAGGAAGAGACGGGAUUCAAUUGGGAAAAUUAUUAGGAUUUUUAAUUGAUUGGGUGGAUUACCAAUAUAUACACUUGAUUUUUGCACAAAUAACUUUAACCCUGAGCUUUGAAUUUGAAAG